UACGAGGGGGGCGAGCGUUGUUCGGAAUUAUUGGGCGUAAAGGGUGCGUAGGCGGUUUGGUAAGUCUUAUGUGAAAUCUACAGGCUCAACUUGUAGUCUGCAUGAGAAACUGCCGGGCUUGAGUAUGGGAGGGGUGAGUGGAAUUCCUGGUGUAGCGGUGAAAUGCGUAGAUAUCAGGAGGAACACCUGUGGCGAAAGCGGCUCACUGGACCAUAACUGACGCUGAUGCACGAAAGCUAGGGGAGCAAACAGG
rnacentral:rRNA from 1 species